rnacentral:rRNA from 1 species
GUAAAGCGUGCGCAGGCGGUUAUGUAAGACAGUUGUGAAAUCCCGGGCUCAACCUGGGAACCGCAUCUGUGACUGCAUAGCUAGAGUACGGUAGAGGGGGAUGGAAUUCCGCGUGUAGCAGUGAAAUGCGUAGAUAUGCGGAGGAACACCGAUGGCGAAGGCAAUCCCCUGGACCUGUACUGACGCUCAUGCACGAAAGCGUGGGGAGCAAACAGGAUUAGAUACCCAGU